UUUAAUUAUCAUUAUUAUCCAAAAUUAUAUAUAUUAGAUCUUCUUAUUAUAUUUAAGUUGGAAUAUGAAGUUUAUGUUUUAAUUAACGAUAUUUUAGUAGUUUUAUUAUUCUUGAUAUUAUAUGUUAAUUAAACAAUACUUUAGAUGCGUUUAAUCUACAAGUAUAUUUCGGAAAAUGAUUUUGAAUAACUUGGAGUUCGAAUCGUUAUAUGUUAGUUUAUCGUAGUUAGCAACAUUUACAGUAUUAAGUUAGUAAGUCGUGUUGUAUUUUAGAUGUGAACAGAAUAGAAAACCCGAAAAUUAUAAACACCACCCGCCUUAUUGUUUUAGUCGGUCAAGAAACAAAAGAAGAAAAAAAAACACCAAAACCCCCCUACCGUUUCUCUCUCCCAUGGAAAACCAAACCCUCAUUCAUUCUCUUCCACCUUGAGCACCAUCUCUAAUUCUCUUCCCUGGUUUGCUGUUGGAACUCGUCGGUUUCCCCACCCUCAUCGGAGCUUCUCGCCGCCGCAAGCUAGCGGCGAUAUUUUAUGCUUUCCCUCUCUCCUCUACUCAGUUAGUUGUUGUUGCGAAUUGGCGGUUUUGCCGCCGUGGUUGUCUGCUCCUCCACUGCCCAGCUGUCGUGAUGGUGUUGUGUUGUUGAUGUUGGGUUACUGUUUGCUAGUCUCCACCGUUUUUCUCUCUCUCUCCUCUGAUUUCUAUUGCGUGCUGUUGCUGGGGCGUCGGUGUUGAUGCCGACACAGUCCCGCAAUGCUGCUGCCGCCACUGUCGCGGUGUUGCAGCUCAAUUCUAGCCACCAGUGAGUUGAUACUAGAGCAGGUUUCUUGUUGGAUUCGCGAAGUUUAAGGUGAGGACGGAAAUUCAUAGAGGAACUUUAUAUUCGAAGACUUCGAAAUGUAAAUUGUACGUGGGUUUAAAUAUGUAUUAGUUAUAUUAGUCUUGUUGAGGUUUUGAUUGAAGAUUUCUUUGAUUAGUUUGUAAUACUGAUUAGUGCCAUUAGGUUUGAUUCCCUCUUGAGGUUGUUUCCGCGAAAGCGUUGACGGUUUUAGGUUUUGAGAUGAAGAGUAUUAUAUUUUAUUGA